CAAAGUGGGGAUGGGCUGAGGAGGAGAUUGGGAAAGCUUCACUGUAGGCAAAGUGGACUAUGGCUGGAACAGCUCCAACCGGUUCUAGCAUUGGGGGAGCGGAGCAAACAGUGGGGAUAAAACCUAAAUGAGAAGGCAGGUCCAGAUACCCUCGGGGACUUUACUGGCAAUUUAGUUUGUUUUCUGGGUUCCUGUACAGUAGCACUCCAGGUUUUCCCCGCUAUCUGAACGUACAGUGUUUCUACAAAACCCUCUGUGAGACAAAAUGGCAUAAAGCAAAGAAGCAAUUGCCAUUAACUUAGAUGAAAAACUUUUCCAGCAUUCCUAGUGCCAAGAAAUAACCUCUCUUGGGCUUCUCUGAUACCUUAGGACACAUCUUGAUAACAGAUGCACAAAAUCAAUUGAGAUAAAGCACAGAUGCUCACAGAUGCAGUUCAGAGCUAUGGAGUCCUGAUGCUGAGCGUAGGUCCCAGGGAAGAAGCUAGGUGAGGCCACGCCUGCUGCUCAGGAUGUGCACUGCCCAAGAAAUGCUGAACGCUAUUUUCCCUUUCCACCUUCUUUCGAAGAUGUGUAAAUCCUCUUUGGAUUUCUUUUGGUUAGCAAAAACAGGUCUUUUGUAAAAGCAAAAUGAUGUCAAAUGGACUUUGAAAAAGUGGGGGAUACCUGUACUGACAUUUUAGACCAGAUCAUCCUUCAUGGUGGGGGCUGUGCUGUGCACUGUAGGAUGUUUAGCAGCAUCCCUGGCCUCUACCCACUCAAUGCCAGUAGCAAUCCUUCCCCACUGUGACACCCAGGAAUGUCACAGGCAUGGCCAAAUGUCUGGGGAAGGGCAAAAUGGCCUGGGGUUGAUUUUGAUGAAUGACAACACCUAGCUGGGCAGCCACAAUGCCAGUUGUGAGAAGGGGCCCACACCAGUAAGCAGGUCAGGCUGGUCAUUCCCCACCCAACGGGCACUACCCAGGACAGCUCGGGAACGCCAGCUGCCAGUGACGAGACACACAAGGAGAGCCUGGUGGUUUGCAGAUCCUGGAGGAACAAAAGCAACACUGUCACAACCCAACUGCAAGGGAAGACUUGUCUGACUGAGGCUUUCCAGCUCAGUGAUUAUCUGGAGACACGCUGUUAGAAACUUUUAAAGAAAACAAAGAAAAAAAUGGAGAGAAAAUGCUUCAGAGUGUAAGUGGGCUGGAGUGGUUUAGCAUUCCCCACCUUUGUGGAGAGAAAUACUUGGCUGAUAUUCAGAUAACAUACACUGUUGAGUGGGGGUACAAAUGUGUCAACCUUCACUUCUCCCCCUACACCCACGCUCCACUGAGAGCUGGUGGGUUUGAGAUAUGGGAAGAGGAUGUCAAAAUUUCUCAGGCAUAGAGCAAGCCAUAGAAUGGACUAAAAAUAGCACAAGUGCAAGAGAGCCCUACUUUGAUAGAGAUCCUUUUUCUUAAAAGGAGACCUGAGCUAAUAAUGCAUGUGGUUCCCUCUGUCAAAGGUGCUGGCAACACUUUAGCCUUUAAUUAAGUGGCCCCAUACCUAUGUAAGGAAGCUAUUUGGCAACAAAUCCAUUUGUGAGCCAACUGAAGCAUGAGCAGUUCAGAGCUGUGAUGAAAUACCCCCAAAUGUUAGAUCUGUGGGCUAUUUCCCCCUGACUUGCCCAUCCCACAUGUCCUACAAAAUUCCUACCAGUGAAUUCCAUAGCGAACAUGUAUGUUGUCUCUUUGGGAUGUUCCCAUCAGAGGCCCAUCUGGUAAACUUAUCCGAUCAGAUGGUUUUGUUUGUUCCUGGUGGGUGCCAACCUGAAGUUAUAGUCUGGGGCCUUGGAAUAAAAGGCAAAAAUCCCUACGUAGCACAAAGGAUGUGUGCCUUUGGGAUGCAGGUUCAUGAACAGGCCUACUGAUCUUGACAAGUCACUUAACCCUAACCUCUCUAUAGACAUUUGUUUCUUUACCUGAAAAAAAGAAAGGCAAACUAAUAAAUGACCCUUGAAAGAUAGCUGGGACACAGGCACCCAAUAACCAUUCCACAUAGCCUUCCUUCUUUUCAUGGUAUUCUAGAAGCUACAGGUCCUUGGAAGUCAAGCAGUUCAAUCCCUUUAUUUACAGAUGAGGAAAUCAAGACCCCAAGAGGUGGUCUCUCAGGCAAACAAUGGCAGCGCCCGGCUACACUUGAGAUCUGGGCUCUGGUAUAUCAUCCAAACAUUGUUUUUCUCACAUGAGCCAGCCGAUAAGAGAAGUUCUGAGAUCAGGCAGAGGCAGUGACAAGGCAGUCCCUAUGAUUUCCAGGAGUAAGCGCAAGCCAAGGGCUCGCUACACAGACCUAUCUUGCUGAAGUCUGACAUAGGUCUGAUCACUCCCUAUUGCUCUCAACCCUCAACUGACCUAUCUUUGGUGCUUGCUGUAUAAUAUCCAAGUUUGGUUUAUCUAAACUAAUUGGCUGAGCUGUCCUGUCAAUAGUUUGCAUUACUGGUCAAAGUUGAGGCAUGCAUUCUCCAGCUUUACGAAUCUCUCACACAAGAGUGACUCCAAGAUCACUUUCUAAACUUGGUGCCUGGUCUGUAGGGGAAUGGUUGACCCUGUUUAGUUUCAGCUUGCAACGUGAUGGCUUUCCUUAAAUGCAUUCAAAUAGAAUAGGGACUUGGAAAACCACUGACAUGUCUAGAAACACUGAGUACCCCUGAUUCCCAAGAGAACUGUUCUUCAAGAAGGGCUUCACUAGCAUAUUACACAUUAGGAACAAAAAACAUGCUUCAAUAGGAACCAGAAUCCUAGGUCCUCAAGGUGAAACUUCACACUUUAUAUAGCAUAACUGCUUCCUUCCCUUCUUGGGAGCAACACAAUGCUCUUAUGAGAUUGCUUUUU